GACGAACGCUGGCGGCGUGCCUAAUACAUGCAAGUAGAACGCUGAAGGAGGAGCUUGCUUCUCUGGAUGAGUUGCGAACGGGUGAGUAACGCGUAGGUAACCUGCCUGGUAGCGGGGGAUAACUAUUGGAAACGAUAGCUAAUACCGCAUAAGAGUAGAUGUUGCAUGACAUUUGCUUAAAAGGGGCAAUUGCAUCACUACCAGAUGGACCUGCGUUGUAUUAGCUAGUUGGUGGGGUAACGGCUCACCAAGGCGACGAUACAUAGCCGACCGGAGAGGGGGAUCGGCCACACUCGGACUGGGACACGGCCCAGACUCCUACGGGAGGCAGCAGUAGGGAAUCUUCGGCAAUGGACGGAAGUCUGACCGAGCAACGCCGCGUGAGUGAAGAAGGUUUUCGGAUCGUAAAGCUCUGUUGUAAGAGAAGAACGAGUGUGAGAGUGGAAAGUUCACACUGUGACGGUAUCUUACCAGAAAGGGACGGCUAACUACGUG
rnacentral:rRNA from 1 species